AACCCUUCAAAUUCGGCGAAACCCCUGGCGCGCGACGCGCCGAGGCAACGCCGAGCCAAGUCCCGAGACAGCCGAGGCGGCUGUGGCGGGAAAGGUGUAGAGACUAGACGGGGGGC
rnacentral:misc_RNA from 2 species